ensembl:lncRNA
GUCAGGACUUCGACUCAGGUGCAGAGCAAUAAGGCAACAAAAACUUCUUUCCAGGUUUGGAGUCUUUUACUCCAAAAAAAGUAAUGCAAGACAAAAAGGGUGCACAGGCAAAGGCGGAAUCCACACGCUCUUGUAGAAACAAAAAAAGGAAGAGGGCCUGGCAAAGAAGUAAAAACACGAUAACCAAAAACAGCACUGGGAAUUUCUUACUACAAACAUGCACCUAUGGGAAAGACAAAAGAUAACCUGACACAGACAAUUAGGGGGGAACUGAGGCUUAAAUACAGGUGGAGGUGAUUGCAAACUAAACUCAGCUGUGGGGAGAAACGAAGGGUGAGAAACUAGAUACAGGAAGUGCAGUGGUUACAAAAAUAAAACAGGAAGUUAAUCUUCACUGUCUCUUUGAGUCGUCACACCUAUGAAGAGAAGGCAAACCCUUUGCCAGGUUAGUGUUUGACUAUCAUUAUGAUCAUACACUGUGACAUGUUAUAGAUAAAAUGUGAUAUUUAGCCUUGUACCUGGUCUUUUGCCACUUCAUGAGUAGAAACCUGAGGUUUGUGGUAGUCCUCCCAACAAUGAGCUUCUGGUUGGAUUUCUGGUUGGAAUGGAUGUGUCUAGCUGUAUGUUAAACCAUUCAUGUUAACCUGAUAUGCUGUAUCUGUACAGGGAAAACGUUGCACAUUGGGUUCAUGCACUUAGGAAGCUCCCACUGGAAGAGCCAAUGAUCAAACACUCAAAAUUUGUAGAUGUGCGGCAGAGGGCUGAAAGCGGCAUUGAAGAUGUCCUUUACUUUGUUGAAAGGUUCCCCCAUCUCCUCCCAUACCAUGGGCCAGAGGAGCAUGACCACCUGGGUGAGGAGUUUUUAAAUGAUCAGAAAAUGCCAACAACCUCCCUUCAGGAAGAAACGGAUAUGGAAAGCUUCUGGGCUGGAAUGGCAACCCGGAAACAUAAAGUGACAGGAGCCAAAGAAUUUCAGAGGCUUGCUGCCGUCGCCAAGCUGGUCCUGGUGUUGCCCCAUUCAGAUGCUGAUGCUGAGAGGGUGUUUUCAGUUGUGGGACUGAAUAAAACAAAAACCAGAAAUAGCCUGGCACUGGAUGGCACCCUGUCCUCCAUCAUGGCCAUAAAGAUGGCCGACCAGGAGCCCUGCUUCAGAUGGGAGCCCCCCUCAGCGGUCAUCAAGGCCUCCAAGAAGGCCACAGGCCAGUACAACCUUGCCCACAAAUCUUAAAAAAUUAC